CCAGGAGCUCCACUCCACCCUGAGGCUACAGCUAGACCCCUGCCUCAGGGAGCAAGAAGACAAGUGGAGAUCAUUUCAGACAGCAGCAUGGACUCCAAGGAAGACUGAGUGGAAGAGACCCCCAGACCUUGGAUGUGGCUGUUCUAAGCAGGCAGAAGUAGGGCCCAGGCUCUAUUGAAGACAGGAUGACCAGGCUGGAGCUAGUCAAGGGGACACAGUGCAAUGCAUUCUGGACCCCGACUCCCUUCAGGACCCCAGAGUCCUCCUCCCAAGAACUCAGCACACUGAAGGAUAGACUCCUCCUUCCUGAGACUUGGAAGUCUGGAC
rnacentral:lncRNA from 1 species